UACAGAGGUCCCAAGCGUUGUUCGGAUUCACUGGGCGUAAAGGGUGCGUAGGCGGUCGGGUAAGUCUGAUGUGAAAUCUCGAAGCCUAACUUCGAAACUGCAUUGGAUACUAUUCGGCUAGAGGAAUGGAGGGGAGACUGGAAUGCUCGGUGUAGCAGUGAAAUGCGUAGAUAUCGAGCGGAACACCAGUGGCGAAGGCGAGUCUCUGGACAUUUCCUGACGCUGAGGCACGAAAGCCAGGGGAGCAAACGGG
rnacentral:rRNA from 1 species